rnacentral:snRNA from 1 species
GUGAUGGCACAGCUGAACAUUGAUCGCUAAACGUAGAAUUAUGGCAGAUCUGCUCAAUGGGUGUUGUCACGUGGUCGCUUUCAAGUAGCUUGUGUGUUCGGCUCCCAAUUGCACGUGCAAGCUCGUGGUAUUUUAAUAUACCUCGGAUUUGCACGCCUGCACGGUCGAGUUUUCACGUCGCUCCUCGAACUACCGCGAUUUCCAAAUUGU